rnacentral:rRNA from 1 species
AUUGAACGCUGGCGGCAGGCCUAACACAUGCAAGUCGAGCGGUAGAGAGAAGCUUGCUUCUCUUGAGAGCGGCGGACGGGUGAGUAAUGCCUAGGAAUCUGCCUAGUGGUGGGGGAUAACGUUCGGAAACGGACGCUAAUACCGCAUACGUCCUACGGGAGAAAGCGGGGGAUCUUCGGACCUCGCGCCAUUAGAUGAGCCUAGGUCGGAUUAGCUAGUUGGUGAGGUAAUGGCUCACCAAGGCGACGAUCCGUAACUGGUCUGAGAGGAUGAUCAGUCACACUGGAACUGAGACACGGUCCAGACUCCUACGGGAGGCAGCAGUGGGGAAUAUUGGACAAUGGGCGAAAGCCUGAUCCAGCCAUGCCGCGUGUGUGAAGAAGGUCUUCGGAUUGUAAAGCACUUUAAGUUGGGAGGAAGUGCAGUAACCUAAUACGUUAUUGUUUUGACGUUACCGACAGAAUAAGCACCGGCUAACUCUGUGCCAGCCGCCGCCGUAACAC